GACGAACGCUGGCGGCGUGCCUAAUACAUGCAAGUAGAACGCACAGUUUAUACCGUAGCUUGCUACACCAUAUACUGUGAGUUGCGAACGGGUGAGUAACGCGUAGAUAACCUGCCUGGUAGCGGGGUAUAACUAUUGGAAACGAUAGCUAAUACCGCAUAAUAUUGAUUAUUGCAUGAUAAUUGAUUGAAAGAUGCUAUUUCAUCACUACCAGAUGGAUCUGCGUUGUAUUAGCUAGUAGGUGAGGUAACGGCCCACCUAGGCGACGAUACAUAGCCGACCUGAGAGGGUGAUCGGCCAAACUGGGACUGAGACACGGCUCAGACUCCUACGGGAGGCAGCAGUAGGGAAUCUUCGGCAAUGGACGAAAGUCUGACCGAGCAACGCCGCGUGAGUGAAGAAGGUUUUCGGAUCGUAAAGCUCUGUUGUAAGAGAAGAACGGGUGUGAGAGUGGAAAGUUCACACUGUGACGGUAGCUUACCAGAAAGGGACGGCUAACUACGUG
rnacentral:rRNA from 1 species